rnacentral:tRNA from 1 species
GCGUUGGUAGCUCAGCUGGAUAGAGUGUCUGACUACGAAUCAGAAGGUCAGGGGUUCGAGUCCCUUCCAGCGCGCCA